rnacentral:lncRNA from 1 species
CAAGGUUCUAGUGUAAAAAUAACAUUUUAAACUAUUCUGGAUGUUUUGAGGGUUGUCUGUGUCGUAUUUGACUGUUACUAGAGCUUAUUAGGUGUGAAAACGGGCUUUCGACAUCAAAAUCUGCAAAGUGCAGGUUUUAGUGUUGAGUACCGGUACUGGAUGUUGGUAUCGGUACCCUGUAGAGUGCCGAAAUGUACAGCUCUCGGGUUUUGAGGUACUGGACAGUGAGUACUGGUACUGGGCUGGGUACCGGUACUGCAUCGCGUGGGUACCGGUACACCGUAAUAAACCUGAAUGUUUUACGCUCGAGUUUUGUGAGUUUGAGGGCC